rfam:Pteropus alecto contig86431, whole genome shotgun sequence.
GUCUACGGCCAUGACACCCUGAACAAGCCCAAUGUUUGAUCUUGGAAGCUAAACAAGGUUAGGCCUGGUUAGUACUUGGAUGGGAGACCACCUAGGAAGAUGAGGUGCUGUAGGCC